rnacentral:rRNA from 1 species
AACCGGAAUGUCCUUAAAUUGGUGUUGCAGGAAAUCAGGACUGUUACUUUGAAAAAAUUAAAGUGUUUAAAGCAGGCUAAGGCUUGAAUACCUUAACAUGGAAUAAUGAAAUAAGACGUUUGAUCCUAUUUUGUUGGUUUCUAGGAUUGACGUAAUGAUUAAUAGGGAUAGUUGGGGGCAUUAAUAUUCAAUUGUCAAAGGUGAAAUUCUUGGAUUUAUUGAAAACUAACUACGGCAAAAGCAUUUGCCAAGGAUGUUUUCAUUAAUCAAAAACGAAAGUUAGGGGAUCGAAAACAAUCAAUACCGUCGUAGUCUUAACCAUAACCUAUGCCGACAAGGGAUCGGA